GACGAACGCUGGCGGCGUGCUUAACACAUGCAAGUCGAACGGAAAGGCCCUGCUUUUGUGGGGUGCUCGAGUGGCGAACGGGUGAGUAACACGUGAGUAACCUGCCCUUGACUUUGGGAUAACUUCAGGUAACUGGGGCUAAUACCGGAUAGGAGCUCCUGCAGCAUGGUGGGGGGUGGAAAGUUUCGGCGGGUGGGGAUGGACGCGCGGCUUAUCAGCUUGUUGGUGGGGUAGUGGCUUACCAAGGCUUUGACGGGUAGCCAGCCUGAGAGGGUGACCGGCGUCAAUGGGACUGAGAGACGGACCAGAGUCCUACGGGAGGCAGCAGUGGGGAGUAUGGCACAAUGGGCGGAAGCCUGAUGAAGCAACGCCGCGUGCGGGAUGACGGCCUUCGGGUUGUAAACCGCUUUCGCCUGUGACGAAGCGUGUGUGACGGUAAUGGGUAAAGAAGCACCGGCUAACUACGUG
rnacentral:rRNA from 1 species